UAUCGAGUCACCUCUCUACCCUUUGUGACUAUUAUACCUGUUGCUUCGGCGGCGCCCGCGAGGGUGCCCGCCGGUCUCAUCAGAAUCUCUGUUUUCGAACCCGACGAUACUUCUGAGUGUUCUUAGCGAACUGUCAAAACUUUUAACAACGGAUCUCUUGGCUCCAGCAUCGAUGAAGAACGCAGCGAAACGCGAUAUGUAAUGUGAAUUGCAGAAUUCAGUGAAUCAUCGAAUCUUUGAACGCACAUGGCGCCUUCCAGUAUCCUGGGAGGCAUGCCUGUCCGAGCGUCGUUUCAACCCUCGAGCCCCCGUGGCCCGGCGUUGGGGAUCUGCCACGGCAGGCCCCUAAAACCAGUGGCGGACCCGAAGGCCCUCUCCUUUGCGCAGUAGCAUCAGCCUCGCAUUGGGAUCCCUCGGCGUCCUGCCUCUAAACCCCCCACAAGUCCGCUCCGGCGGCACCAAGGUUGACCUCGGAUCAGGUAGGAAUACCCGCUGAACUUAACAUAUCUAAAACGGGGAAGAAAA
rnacentral:rRNA from 1 species